UGAUCUCUGAAGAAAUAAAAAGAAUGCCAUUUAUAUGCAAAUCUCCUUAAAGGUGAUGAAGGAGAGUGAAGAGACACUGGGCUGAAAGGAAUGAAAGAGACUUGAAAAGAUUAUACCUCCUGAGAAUUCCAUGGACCUUUUACUCUAGCUGCUAGUUGAUUUGAUUCCUCUGAAUGCAGACCUCAACACUGAUUUCUCAGGUUUUAGAGAAUGAUCAAAAGGAAACAUGCAAAUAAAUUAACCUACAAAUUCUGUCAAAGAAAAAUUAUAAUAGGCAGAAGUAAGCCGGCAGGGAAGACUCCCUUCAAGGCUACUGCAGUUGAGGAGAAACUAAACUUAAUUCCAUUCCAAACAGAGGUCUCACCUUCCAACAGAUCUGGAAGAUGAGGAAGCUGACUCCUGCAAAGAUUCCAUCUCAGAGGGCCAGCUCCCAGGACCUUGACAAAGACAACAGCACACCCAUUUCAAAACUAGCCAGAAGUUUGGAAGAUAUUUAAUCUGUAUUUUGGCUGGCAGAGAAAUAAUUUGUGCCUGAACUUCACCCACCCUGAGGCUGAGAGUGCAUAAAUAAUCUCUUCUAAAGGGAUAAUCAUAGGAAUAAGAUGACUAUAGG